rnacentral:misc_RNA from 1 species
UGUCGUAACAAGGUAGCCGUAUCGGAAGGUGCGGCUGGAUCACCUCCUUUAAGAGCGUGCAUCCGACGUUAGGCGUCCACACUUAUCGGUUUGUUUGAUGUUACAGCCAAGGGUCUGUAGCUCAGGUGGUUAGAGCACCGUCUUGAUAAGGCGGGGGUCGUAGGUUCAAGUCCUACCAGACCCACCAAGUUACGGACGGUGGAAGUUGUUCUCUACCGUGACUGGGGGAUUAGCUCAGCUGGGAGAGCACCUGCUUUGCAAGCAGGGGGUCGUCGGUUCGAUCCCGUCAUCCUCCACCAAUACCUUCUGGUUGCCAAACGCAAGCAUCGACAGAGAUGUCGAUGAAUGCGGUGUUUGCGUUUGGCUUAGCCAAGACGAGUGAUAACUCGGCUGUUCUUUAACAAUAUGGAAUGUAGUAAAGGUGUCGCGGUGCGUUGAUGAGACGCACAUUCAAACGCGACACUGGGUUGUGAUUGUAUCAACCAGUAUUACCAGAGCAAUCGAAAGAUUGUCUUGGAAUAUGGCACAACGCGAGAACUCAGCCUAUAGCGAGACAUACUCGUUAUAGGGUCAAGCGAAUAAGUGCAUGUGGUGGAUGCCUUGGGCAA